UCCUUGGGCCUAAAGAAGGGCUGUUUCCAGGGAAACAAAACCCUUUGAGCAAGGUCUUCCAGGGCCCUAGUUCCUUGACUGCAGUGCAAGUGUAUGUGCAGGCACUAAGUUUUGGCUCUGACAUGAAUCACCAGGUGCUGGAAACAGACAUCUUACCUUAACCUCUUGGGAAGCUUAAGGGCCUAUUUCCAUGGUGACCCGGAUUCCAGGGCCUGGCUGGGGUCCACCGCAAGUCAUCCGUCAAAGAGAAGAUAAGACAGACAAAGACAAAGAGAGGGGGCAAAGCACCACCACUCGGAGCUCCCAGUAGGAUGGGAUGAAUCUGGGUCUUGACUCUGGUAGAGCAGGUGCACUAUGCAGGUGAGCUACCUGGCCGACCCUUGAAUGAUGUUUUAAAUAACUGCUACAUCCAACGGGUUGCUGCGUGAAGUGGAGGAAGAAUGAUCAAGUGUAGUGAGUAAGAUAUUUCGAAAAAUGCUUGAUGAAGUGAAGGGGUGGGGGGGGGACAAGAGGAAGAGGGAAUAGGCAGUGGGGCACCAGGUUCAAUGCACAUGUUACCGU